rnacentral:rRNA from 1 species
UACGUAGGGACCAAGCGUUGUUCGGAUUUACUGGGGGUAAAGGGCGCGUAGGCGGCUUAACAAGUCACUUGUGAAAUCUCCGGGCUUAACUCGGAACGGCCAAGUGAAACUGUCAAGCUAGAGUGCAGAAGGGGCAAUCGGAAUUCUUGGUGUAGCGGUGAAAUGCGUAGAUAUCAAGAGGAACACCUGAGGUGAAGACGGGUUGCUGGGCUGACACUGACGCUGAGGCGCGAAAGCCAGGGGAGCAAACGGG